rnacentral:rRNA from 1 species
AUUGAACGCUGGCGGCAGGCCUAACACAUGCAAGUCGAACGGUAGCACAGAGGAGCUUGCUCCUUGGGUGACGAGUGGCGGACGGGUGAGUAAUGUCUGGGGAUCUGCCCGAUGGAGGGGGAUAACUACUGGAAACGGUAGCUAAUACCGCAUAACGUCGCAAGACCAAAGUGGGGGACCUUCGGGCCUCACACCAUCGGAUGAACCCAGAUGGGAUUAGCUAGUAGGUGGGGUAAUGGCUCACCUAGGCGACGAUCCCUAGCUGGUCUGAGAGGAUGACCAGCCACACUGGAACUGAGACACGGUCCAGACUCCUACGGGAGGCAGCAGUGGGGAAUAUUGCACAAUGGGCGCAAGCCUGAUGCAGCCAUGCCGCGUGUAUGAAGAAGGCCUUCGGGUUGUAAAGUACUUUCAGCGGGGAGGAAGGGAUGAUGGUUAAUAUCCAUUGUCAUUGACGUUACCCGCAGAAGAAGCACCGGCUAACUCCGUGCCAGCCGCCGCGGUAAGAC